rnacentral:sRNA from 1 species
UUCAAUAGAGUCCACCCAGAAGAUUAAAUCCCUCCAUGUUUCCAUACUCUUUUGAUUAGCCUAUGGGGUGGGUGGGUGUGAUUUGAAAUUACUUUUUAGAAAUAAAUUUUAUGUGUAUUUUCAGGUCCUCCCAAACAUUUUCCUGUGGUCACCGUCAAUCAUAUUUUGAAAGAUGUAUUAACCAGCUAUCUACAAGUAGAAGAAUAUGAACCAGAGCUCUGUAGACAGAUGACUAAAACCAUUUCUGAGGUUAUUAAAGCCCAGGUCAAGGACUUGAUGAUUCCACGGUAUAAACUAAUUGUGAUAGUUCACAUUGGACAACUGAACAGGCAGAGCAUACUUAUUGGAAGCAGAUGCCUCUGGGAUCCUAAAAGUGAUACCUUUUCAUCUUAUGUUUUCAGAAAUUCUUCUCUCUUCGCUCUUGCAAAUGUCUAUGCAGUUUACCUUGAGUGAUUGAAAAUAAGAAAUCUAGCUCUUACUUUUGAAAAUUCUGAGGCAGGCCGUAUGUCUGUACACAAAAGUUUUACUGCCAAAAACUUUGAGAAAGAAACAACACUGAUAUUUCAAGCAACUGGAAGCUUUUGAAUUUUUUCAUAUUCUAGUAAAGAUUGGGGGAGGGGAGGGUAGCCACAGAAAGAAUCUUGUUUAUCUAGAGCAGGAACUUGGUCUUGGUUUCGCUGGAUUGCUUUCCAUACACAUAGAUUCUUAUUAAAUAUUUGUUUUGGUACUAAUUAUUUUAAUUAUUCUUUAAUUAGAGUGUUAAACUUUCCUGCAUUGUUUUUUAAUAAAAAGAAACUUUAGAAAAACUAUGGCUAUAUA